GAUUAACGCUGGCGGCGUGCCUAACACAUGCAAGUCGAGCGGCAGCGAGUUUUACACUGAAUUCUGGAAGCUUCUAGUUGAAAGAGAAGAUUUAUUCAAGAAUUUUGUGUAAAAUGUCGGCGAGCGGCGGACGGCUGAGUAACGCGUGGGAACGUACCCCAAAGUGAGGGAUAACGCAUCGAAAGGUGUGCUAAUACCGCAUAUGGUCUUCGGAUUAAAGCCUUCGGGCGCUUUGGGAACGGCCUGCGUAAGAUUAGAUAGUUGGUGGGGUAAUGGCCUACCAAGUCGAAGAUCUUUAACUGGUUUGAGAGGAUGAUCAGUCAGACUGGAACUGAGACACGGUCCAGACUCCUACGGGAGGCAGCAGUGAGGAAUCUUCCACAAUGGGCGAAAGCCUGAUGGAGCAACGCCGCGUGCAGGAUGAAGGCCUUCGGGUUGUAAACUGCUUUUAUAAGUGAGGAUUAUGACAGUAACUUAUGAAUAAGGAUCGGCUAACUACGUG
rnacentral:rRNA from 1 species